rnacentral:rRNA from 1 species
UACAGGGGGUGCAAACGUUGUUCGGAAUACUGGCGUAAAGCGUGCGCAGGCGGCGCGUUAAGACAGGUGUGAAAGCCCCCGAGCUUAACUUGGGAAUUGCGCUUGUGACUGGCGUGCUGGAGUGUGGCAGAGGGAGAUGGAAUUCCACGUGUAGCAGUGAAAUGCGUAGAGAUGUGGAGGAACACCGAUGGCGAAGGCAGCCUCCUGGGCCAGCACUGACGCUCAUGCACGAAAGCGUGGGGAGCAAACAGG